GAAACUUACAGGAAGUUGACGGGGCCCGCACAAGCGGUGGAGCAUGUGGUUUAAUUCGAUGAUACGCGAGGAACCUUACCUGGGCUCAAAUGUAUGUUGACGUAUUCUGAAAGGGAUACUUCUUCGGACAAUAUACAAGGUGCUGCAUGGUUGUCGUCAGCUCGUGCCGUGAGGUGUCGGGUUAAGUCCCAUAACGAGCGCAACCCCUAUCAUUAGUUGCCAUCAGGUCAAGCUGGGGACUCUAAUGAAACUGCCUACGCAAGUAGUGAGGGAGGUGGGGAUGACGUCAAAUCAGCACGGCCCUUACGUCCAGGGCUACACACGUGCUACAAUGGCCGGUACAAAGGGCAGCUACCUGGUGACAGGAUGCUAAUCUCAAAAGCCGGUCUCAGUUCGGAUCGGAGUCUGCAACCCGACUGCAUGAAGUUGGAAUCGCUAGUAAUCGUGGAUCAGCCAAGCCGCGGUGAAUACGUUCCCGGGCCUU
rnacentral:rRNA from 1 species